rnacentral:rRNA from 1 species
UGCAUCGGAACAUGUCCAUGUCGUGGGGGAUAGCCCGGCGAAAGCCGGAUUAAUACCGCAUACGCCCGAGAGGGGAAAGCAGGGGACCGCAAGGCCUUGCGCGAUUGGGUUGGCCGAUGUCCGAUUAGCUUGUUGGUGAGGUAAAGGCUUACCAAGGCGAUGAUCGGUAGCUGGUCUGAGAGGAUGAUCAGCCACACUGGGACUGAGACACGGCCCAG